rnacentral:rRNA from 1 species
CGCCGAAGGUGGGGCAAGUGAUUGGGGUGAAGUCGUAACAAGGUAGCCGUACCGGAAGGUGCGGCUGGAUCACCUCCUUUCUAAGGAGA